rnacentral:rRNA from 1 species
UACGUAGGGGGCAAGCGUUGUCCGGAAUUAUUGGGCGUAAAGCGCUCGUAGGCGGUCCAUCACGUCGGGAGUGAAAAGCUGGGGCUUAACCCCAGUCCUGCUUCCGAUACGGGCAGACUAGAGGUAUUCAGGGGAGAACGGAAUUCCUGGUGUAGCGGUGAAAUGCGCAGAUAUCAGGAGGAACACCGGUGGCGAAGGCGGCUAUCUGGACAGAAACUGACGCUGAGGCGCGAAAGCGAGGGGAGCAAACAGG